rnacentral:lncRNA from 1 species
UUUUUAGCAUGGGAAUAACCUGUUCCAGAUACCUUGUUGUACCUCUCACACCACACACCGAGCUUUUGCUAUCAGUGGCAGGCCUGGGAGACAGAAGGGUGUUCCCCAAUACCUCAGAAAGUGAGCUGAAAGGUUGUAAUGAAUGAACCAGUGCAGCAGUGACACUGUGCAUCCCUGGCAGCUGCCUUUUGGUGUAGGCUAAAGCAACUGAAGUGUCUGCUUUCACACUCAGGUGCUUUGAAGACAGACACUACAGAGCAUUCGCUCUCAGCUUUGGAGACAUGAACUGUCCUUUUGCUGGACAAAGUGAGCUUUGUUGCAUAAAACUGUGGUUUGGAACUAACAUUUACUCUGGAGCAAAGAAUCCAUUGAAAGAGUUUGAAAAACUCCAGUCAAUAAGACACUUUUCUUUGUGUACCAGAGAGACAAGAAAUCACACCAUUUAAAAGAAAGAGGCAGCAAGGAUUCUCCCUCUUGCAACAACUCUUCAGCCACAGGAGUUUCUGUAAGUGCUGUUUCACUUCUCCCCUUAGCUUCCGAGCACUGUCCUACAGUUCAGACUGUCACUAUCA